GGAGGAUAUAUACAGGGGGUACCGGUACAGAGUCAAUGUGGAGGAUAUAUACAGGGGGUACCGGUACAGAGUCAAUGUGGAGGCUAUAUACAGGGGGUACUGGUACAGAGUCAAUGUGGAGGCUAUAUACAGGGGGUACCGGUACAGAGUCAAUGUGGAGGCUAUAUACAGGGUGUACCGGUACAGAGUCAAUGUGGAGGCUAUAUACAGGAGGUACCAGUACAGAGUCAAUGUGGAGGAUAUAUACAGGGGGUACCAGUACAGAGUCAAUGUGGAGGAUAUAUACAGGGGGUACCAGUACAGAGUCAAUGUGGAGGCUAUAUACAGGGGGUACCGGUACAGAGUCAAUGUGGAGGCUAUAUACAGGGGGUACCGAUACAGAGUCAAUGUGGAGGAUAUAUACAGGGGGUACCGGUACAGAGUCAAUGUGGAGGCUAUAUACAGGGGGUACCGGUACAGAGUCAAUGUGGAGGAUAUAUACAGGGGUACCGGUACAGAGUCAAUGUGGAGGCUAUAUACAGGGGGUACCGGUAAAGAGUCAAUGUGGAGGAUAUAUACAGGGGGUACCGGUACAGAGUCAAUGUGGAGACUAUAUACAGGGG
ensembl:lncRNA